rnacentral:tRNA from 1 species
GCUGGGGUGGCCGAACGGUUCAGGCGGCGGCCUGCAGAGCCGCUAUAUGUGGGUUCAAUUCCCAUCCCCAGCUCCA